AGUGGGAUAGCUGGGUCAAAUGGUGGUUCAUUCCCAGUUUUCUGAGGAAUCUCCAUACUGCUUUCCAGAGGAGUUGCACCAACUUGCAGUUCCACCAGCAAU
rnacentral:pre_miRNA from 1 species